rnacentral:rRNA from 1 species
UUUAUGGAGAGUUUGAUCCUGGCUCAGAGUGAACGCUGGCGGCGUGCCUAACACAUGCAAGUUGAGCGGGAUUUUACAGAGUAUCGUAAAAUCUAGCGGCAAACGGGUGAGUAACACAUGGGAAACCUUCCUCAGAAUGUGGGAUAUCUCCGAGAAAUCGGAGUUAAUACCGCAUAAGACCACAAUUCGGCAUCGAAUAGGGGUAAAAGCAGCAAUGCGUUUUGAGAUGGUCCUGUGGACUAUCAGCUAGUUGGUAGUGUAACGGACUACCAAGGCUAUGACGGAUAUCCGGCCUGAAAGGGUGAACGGACACACUGGAACUGAGACACGGUCCAGACUCCUACGGGAGGCAGCAGUGGGGAAUUUUGGACAAUGGGGGAAACCCUGAUCCAGCGACGCCGCGUGGAGGACGAAGGCCUUCGGGUUGUAAACUCCUUUUAGAGGGGAAGAAAAAAAUGACGGUACUCUCAGAAAAAGCCACGGCUAACUACGUGCCAGCAGCCGCGGUAAUACGUAGGUGGCGAGCGUUACUCGGAAUUACUAGGCGUAAAGCGUAUGUAGGCGGUUAAAUAAGUCUUUAGUGAA